UACGGAGGGUGCAAGCGUUGUCCGGAAUCACUGGGCGUAAAGGGCGCGUAGGCGGGCUAUCAAGUCUGGGGUGAAAUCCCGCGGCUCAACCGUGGAACUGCCUUAGAUACUGACGGCCUUGAGGGAGGUAGGGGCAUGCGGAACUUCCGGUGGAGCGGUGAAAUGCGUAGAUAUCGGAAGGAACGCCGGUGGCGAAAGCGGCGUGCUGGACCUCUUCUGACGCUGAGGCGCGAAAGCCAGGGGAGCGAACGGG
rnacentral:rRNA from 1 species